UGCGGAGGGUGCAAGCGUUAUCCGGAUUCACUGGGUUUAAAGGGUGCGUAGGUGGAAUGGUAAGUCAGUGGUGAAAUCUCCAAGCUUAACUUGGAAACUGCCGUUGAUACUAUCAUUCUUGAAUAUCGUGGAGGUAAGCGGAAUAUGUCAUGUAGCGGUGAAAUGCUUAGAUAUGACAUAGAACACCGAUUGCGAAGGCAGCUUGCUACACGAUCAUUGACACUGAGGCACGAAAGCGUGGGGAUCAAACAGG
rnacentral:rRNA from 1 species